GAGGAGCAGGUACAGCCAGGUGAUGCAGGGGUGAGGCAGGGAGUGGAGAGUAUGUGUAGAGAGACUCAGGAGAGGUGAGGUACAAAAACUAAGAGAGGAAACAAAGACAGUGAUACAAAAGAGUUGAAGAUUUCUCUGGUGAAGUUGGCUGUGACACAUGUCGCUACUUAGUGACCAAAGUCUGACUCUGCAGCUCCACUGAGUCGACAGACGACACGCGCCUUCAGCAGAGUAGAAUGAUGCGCCACUAGGAAGAUAACUUGACACCCAGCAGUACUUGGCAAGCUCCUGUGAUGACAGCUGCAAAGUCAUUAGAACACAUCGCAAGAAUGGUUGCCCUUCUUCUCAGGGAGUGACGCAACUGCGUGAUGUCAUCAGGAGUUUAAGGCUAAGAAAAACAAAAUGGAGGUCCUACAGUCUGAACCAAAGUCUCUGAAUAGCAUAAAGUGUCGAGGU